CUCUUUUUUGUUUCAUGAAAGCAGUGUAUUUUCUUGAUACAAGUACAUGUGGAGUUUACACUAAUUUGUCAUAUGAUAGUAGAAGUGUUUAUAGAAGGGAAUGCUAAUCUAUUUUUUAAUUCUUUGAUUUGCUUUCCAUUGCCACCUGAGAAAUUAUUUGCUUAAGGGAGACAUGGUUUCUUCCUUUUCUCAGCAGAUGACCCUGGUUUGGUUUGUCUGGCUGUGGUUUUUGUGACUGCCACUCUCUCCAAGCCUCUAAACUCCCCCAGAUGAUUUGCAUGUGAACCCAUGAAGUUUUUGCAUGGCCAUUGGUGCCUCCUGCUACUCCAGCUCUUCCUCUGCUCUUUCGAGGACUGAGCCGACAUGCAAAGAUGUUGCCCAGUUUUAGAGGAAAGAACCUGGGAGAGCAUCCACAGUCAGUAAGUAGACCUUGUCAGAGUUUUGUUAUUGUUAAUAGCUGAGGCUUAUUGAAACAAUUUAGUGCCAACCCUGUGCUGGGCACAGUGUAAGGGCCCAUAGAGAAUGUGGCCCCUGCCUCUGGCUGUUUCCAGGCCACUGAAGAUGAUUGACAAACUGAAGGCCAUGGGCACUUGACAAACUGAAGGCCAUGAAGGUAGAAGAGAGAACACAGUGCUCAGUGCCCCACACCAUGUGAGGGACUGGCUGAGUCUACCUCUGAGAGGUGAGAAAACCUCACAGAGGAGGUGGCAUUCGGGCUGUGCUGUGGUCUGAAUGGGGCCCCCAAUUCCUAUGCUAAAAUCUCAAACCCCAAAGAUAAUGGUACUAGGAGGUGGGGCCUGUGAGCUGUGAUUAAUUAGGUCUCGAGGGCAGAGCCUGAUGAAGGCGACUAGUGGCCUUAUAAAAGAGGCCCCAGAAAACUCUGUCACUCCUUCCACCACGUGAGGACACAGCGAGAAGGCACCAGCUGUGAACCCGGAAGUGCGCUCUCACCAGAACAUGACGGCACGGGUGCUGGCGCCCUGACCUUGGACCUCCAGCCUCCAGAACUGUGAGAAAUAGAUGUUUGCUGUUGGCAAGCCACCCAAUCUGUGGUAUAUUUUUGUUACAGCAGCCCGAAUGGACGAAGGCAGGCGGUUUCUUCAGGGCUGAGUGGAAGUUUACCAGAGGGAGAGGAGG